ensembl:snoRNA small Cajal body-specific RNA 1
AAGCACUUGAUACUAACCGAGCUAUCUGUAUCCUAGCUCUCAUAGAGAGAUCUGAGAUAUACCUUGUGAUUGCUGGGUCUGUGAAGUGCAAUAUUAAAGCAAGCCAUGAAGUAUUUAAGCUCAGCGUGUAGAGGAUCAUGCUGGGUUAUAACUCAGAGGCACAGCU